UAUAGGUAGCAUUAGUUCGUCAAAUAAACAUCAGUGGAAACGUAACAAACAUUCCUUUGAAACUCCAGGAAGCAAGAGAACAUCGGCACGGAAUGGCAAAGGCCUUGUACUCCAGAACAUUCGCUUGGUUGGUGGAUCAUAUAAACAAGUGCACUAACCCAGGU